CACACGAAAAUAUAUUAGCCUGAAGCAAAAUACUAUUUCUUUUUAUAUCACAGUAUCGGUUGUAGUAUUAUACAACUUGUAAUUAAAGGUCGAACGUAGUGCCAACAAAUAUUCGCAAUGAUGUAAUUACCUUAUCAUUUCGAUCUUAUGUAAACAAUACAAUGGAAAUGUAUGAUGUUUUGGUCAGUUUAAAAGGAAACUUCUAUAAACUGCGAAAUCAAUAGUGAUCCCCAUUAUUAAUUUAAGAGGUACGAGUCAAGUUGUCAGUUAUCACGCGAGAUGGAGCUAUAUGUACCUACAGGGCAGAGGCUAUGGAUCCCAGUACAACUACUCCCCCAUAAUAUACACACUUGUUUUGUUCCGAGGCCAGCUUUUUGAUGUCCGCAUCGGGUUUCAUGUCCCGGCAAUUCCAACUAAUGACGAAGCCAGUGACGAGUCGCCAUCAUCAGUGGGUAAUUACCAUCGCAGGUGGAUGAAAAUGGCCCAGAGUGGGUGGAAAGUCAUAUAAAAAGGACAACGAACAGGCAGGAACUGCUUGGACACGGCAUGCUCAUUAGGCAAAUCCUUGGAGAGCCUUAUCGAGUGUGCGGGGGAUAUAAAAAAAAAACGGAAGGCGAAUAAAACACCGAUGGGGUUGUAUUGUCACUGUCAUUGCCAGCAGAUGAGUAAUGUAACCCCUCAUUUAGAAGAGCCACCUAUAUAGCAGAGAAAAAUAAGCGAAGAGCCAAUUUGCACAGACUCGACUUGAUUUACAUCCUUGGAUUGGCAUUGGAGCGGUGUGUCAACCCUGAAACCCUUGUAAAUGGAUGGUGCAACAUGGGUGGUGCAGCUGUAGAAUAUGACCCAAAAAUGCAAGCGUCACUGGGAAAUUUAUUACGUGACUCAAGAAUAUUUUCUUUGCAAAAAAUGUAAAUUAGAAAGUUGACUUAAGAGGAUGCAGUGAGCUAUGGGUAUAACAUACAGAUAUUUUAUUGCGUAUUAAAUACAUGAAUGUAUAAAUGA